rnacentral:rRNA from 1 species
UACGUAGGGGGCAAGCGUUGUCCGGAAUCAUUGGGCGUAAAGAGCGUGUAGGCGGCUUGGCAAGUCUGACGUGAAAGCCCGCGGCUCAACCGCGGAUUGUCGUUGGAAACUGCCUCGCUAGAGUCCGGAAGAGGAGAGCGGAAUUCCUGGUGUAGCGGUGGAAUGCGCAGAUAUCAGGAAGAACACCCGUGGCGAAGGCGGCUCUCUGGGACGGUACUGACGCUGAGACGCGAAAGCGUGGGGAGCGAACAGG